UACGUAGGGAGCAAGCGUUGUUCGGAUUUACUGGGCGUAAAGGGCGCGUAGGCGGCGCGGUAAGUCACUUGUGAAAUCUCUGAGCUUAACUCAGAACGGCCAAGUGAUACUGCAGUGCUAGAGUGCAGAAGGGGCAAUCGGAAUUCUUGGUGUAGCGGUGAAAUGCGUAGAGAUGUGGAGGAACACCAGUGGCGAAGGCGACUCUUUGGUCUGUAACUGACGCUGAGGCGCGAAAGCGUGGGGAGCAAACAGG
rnacentral:rRNA from 1 species